GAUGAACGCUGGCGGCGUGCCUAAUACAUGCAAGUCGAGCGAACAGAUGGGGAGCUUGCUCCUCUGACGUUAGCGGCGGACGGGUGAGUAACACGUGGAUAACCUACCUAUAAGACUGGGAUAACUUCGGGAAACCGGAGCUAAUACCGGAUAAUAUAUUGAACCGCAUGGUUCAAUAGUGAAAGACGGUUUUGCUGUCACUUAUAGAUGGAUCCGCGCCGCAUUAGCUAGCUGGUAAGGUAACGGCUUACCAAGGCGACGAUGCGUAGCCGACCUGAGAGGGUGAUCGGCCACACUGGAACUGAGACACGGUCCAGACUCCUACGGGAGGCAGCAGUAGGGAAUCUUCCGCAAUGGGCGAAAGCCUGACGGAGCAACGCCGCGUGAGUGAUGAAGGUCUUCGGAUCGUAAAACUCUGUUAUUAGGGAAGAACAAAUGUGUAAGUAACUAUGCACGUCUUGACGGUACCUAAUCAGAAAGCCACGGCUAACUACGUG
rnacentral:rRNA from 1 species